rnacentral:misc_RNA from 1 species
UACGAAGGGUGCUAGCGUUAUUCGGAAUUAUUGGGCGUAAAGGGCGCGUAGGCGGUCUGUUAAGUUUGUUGUUAAAUCUUCCGGCCUAACCGGAAAACUGCAACAAAAACUGGCGGACUAGAGUGUAGGAGAGAGAAGUGGAAUUCUUGGAGUAGCGGUAAAAUGCGUAGAUCUCGAGAGGAACACCGAUGGCGAAGGCAGCUUCUUGGCCUACUACUGACGCUGAGGCGCGAAAGCGUGGGGAGCAAACAGG